rnacentral:rRNA from 1 species
AUUGAACGCUGGUGGCAGGCCUAACACAUGCAAGUCGAAAGAGCGGCGGACGGGUGAGUAAUGUCCGGGAAACUGCCUGAUGGUGGGGGAUAACUACUGGACACGGUAGCUAAUAACGCAUACCAUCAGAUGUGCCCAGAUGGGAUUAGCUAGUAGGUGGGGUAACGGCUCACCUAGGCUACGAUCCGUAGCUGGUAUGAGAGGAUGACCAGGCAACCUACAACGGAGUCACGGUCCGGACUACAAAGCGAGGCGGCGGUGGAGGAGAGAGCACUAUGGACUCAAGCCUUGUGCGGACCAGCCGAGUAUGGUGAAGAGGCCUUGGUGUUUGAGUGCACUUUCUGCGGUGUAUCGUUACCCGCUGAAUAAGGACCGGCUAACUCCGUGCCAGCAGCCGCGGUAAUUC